rnacentral:rRNA from 1 species
UACGUAGGAGACAAACGUUAUCCGGAGUUACUGGGCGUAAAGAGCUCGUAGGCGGUUUGUCGCGUCUGCCGUGAAAGUCCGGGGCUCAACUCCGGAUCUGCGGUGGGUACGGGCAGACUAGAGUGAUGUAGGGGAGACUGGAAUUCCUGGUGUAGCGGUGAAAUGCGCAGAUAUCAGGAGGAACACCGAUGGCGAAGGCAGGUCUCUGGGCAUUAACUGACGCUGAGGAGCGAAAGCAUGGGGAGCGAACAGG